GAUGAACGCUGGCGGCGUGCCUAAUACAUGCAAGUCGAGCGAACAGACGAGGAGCUUGCUCCUUUGACGUUAGCGGCGGACGGGUGAGUAACACGUGGGUAACCUACCUAUAAGACUGGAAUAACUCCGGGAAACCGGGGCUAAUACCGGAUAAUAUUUUGAACCGCAUGGUUCAAAAGUGAAAGACGGUUUUGCUAUCACUUAUAGAUGGAUCCGCGCCGCAUUAGCUAGUUGGUAAGGUAACGGCUUACCAAGGCAACGAUGCGUAGCCGACCUGAGAGGGUGAUCGGCCACACUGGAACUGAGACACGGUCCAGACUCCUACGGGAGGCAGCAGUAGGGAAUCUUCCGCAAUGGGCGAAAGCCUGACGGAGCAACGCCGCGUGAGUGAUGAAGGUCUUCGGAUCGUAAAACUCUGUUAUUAGGGAAGAACAAAUGUGUAAGUAACUAUGCACGUCUUGACGGUACCUAAUCAGAAAGCCACGGCUAACUACGUG
rnacentral:rRNA from 1 species